UCUGGCGACCAUAGUGCGGUAGUUCUACCUGAAUCCAUUCCGAACUCAGAAGUAAAAUGCCGUAAUGCCGAUGGUAGUGUGGGGAUUCCCCAUGUGAGAGUAGGGCAUCGCCAGAU
rnacentral:rRNA from 1 species